rnacentral:rRNA from 1 species
CCUACGGGUGGCUGCAGUGGGGAAUAUUGGACAAUGGGCGAAAGCCUGAUCCAGCCAUGCCGCGUGUGUGAAGAAGGCCUUCGGGUUGUAAAGCACUUUCAGUGGGGAAGAAAGCCUUGGGGCUAAUACCCUCGAGGAAGGACAUCACCCACAGAAGAAGCACCGGCUAACUCCGUGCCAGCAGCCGCGGUAAUACGGAGGGUGCGAGCGUUAAUCGGAAUUACUGGGCGUAAAGCGCGCGUAGGCGGUCUGAUAAGCCGGUUGUGAAAGCCCCGGGCUCAACCUGGGAACGGCAUCCGGAACUGUCAGGAUAGAGUGCAGGAGAGGAAGGUAGAAUUCCCGGUGUAGCGGUGAAAUGCGUAGAGAUCGGGAGGAAUACCAGUGGCGAAGGCGGCCUUCUGGACUGACACUGACGCUGAGGUGCGAAAGCGUGGGUAGCAAACAGGAUUAGAUACCCGAGUAGUC